CGAAUGGGGAAACCCAGUGCAAUCCGUUGCACUAUCGUUAACUGAAUACAUAGGUUAACGAGGCGAACCGGGGGAACUGAAACAUCUAAGUACCCCGAGGAAAAGAAAUCAACCGAGAUUCCCCCAGUAGCGGCGAGCGAACGGGGAGCAGCCCGGAGUCUGAAUCAGCUUGUGUGUUAGUGGAACGGUCUGGAAAGUCCGACGGUACAGGGUGAUAGUCCCGUACACGAAAGCACACUUGCUGUGAACUCGAAGAGUAGGGCGGGACACGUGGUAUCCUGUCUGAAUAUGGGGGGACCAUCCUCCAAGGCUAAAUACUCCUGACUGACCGAUAGUGAACCAGUACCGUGAGGGAAAGGCGAAAAGAACCCCGGCGAGGGGAGUGAAAAAGAACCUGAAACCGUGUACGUACAAGCAGUGGGAGCCUCUUUAUGGGGUGACUGCGUACCUUUUGUAUAAUGGGUCAGCGACUUAUAUUCUGUAGCAAGGUUAACCGUAUAGGGGAGCCGAAGGGAAACCGAGUCUUAACUGGGCGUUAAGUUGCAGGGUAUAGACCCGAAACCCGGUGAUCUAGCCAUGGGCAGGUUGAAGGUUGGGUAACACUAACUGGAGGACCGAACCGACUAAUGUUGAAAAAUUAGCGGAUGACCUGUGGCUGGGGGUGAAAGGCCAAUCAAACCGGGAGAUAGCUGGUUCUCCCCGAAAGCUAUUUAGGUAGCGCCUCGUGAACUCAUCUUCGGGGGUAGAGCACUGUUUCGGCUAGGGGGCCAUCCCGGCUUACCAACCCGAUGCAAACUACGAAUACCGAAGAAUGUUAUCACGGGAGACACACGGCGGGUGCUAACGUCCGUCGUGAAGAGGGAAACAACCCAGACCGCCAGCUAAGGUCCCAAAGUCAUGGUUAAGUGGGAAACGAUGUGGGAAGGCACAGACAGCCAGGAUGUUGGCUUAGAAGCAGCCAUCAUUUAAAGAAAGCGUAAUAGCUCACUGGUCGAGUCGGCCUGCGCGGAAGAUGUAACGGGGCUAAACCAUGCACCGAAGCUGCGGCAGCGACGCUUAUGCGUUGUUGGGUAGGGGAGCGUUCUGUAAGCCGUUGAAGGUGUGCUGUGAGGCAUGCUGGAGGUAUCAGAAGUGCGAAUGCUGACAUAAGUAACGAUAAAGCGGGUGAAAAGCCCGCUCGCCGGAAGACCAAGGGUUCCUGUCCAACGUUAAUCGGGGCAGGGUGAGUCGACCCCUAAGGCGAGGCCGAAAGGCGUAGUCGAUGGGAAACAGGUUAAUAUUCCUGUACUUGGUGUUACUGCGAAGGGGGGACGGAGAAGGCUAUGUCAGCCGGGCGACGGUUGUCCCGGUUUAAGCAUGUAGGCGGAGGUUCCAGGUAAAUCCGGUACCUUAUUAACGCUGAGGUGUGAUGACGAGGCACUACGGUGCUGAAGUGAUAAAUGCCCUGCUUCCAGGAAAAGCCUCUAAGCAUCAGGUAACACGAAAUCGUACCCCAAACCGACACAGGUGGUCAGGUAGAGAAUACCAAGGCGCUUGAGAGAACUCGGGUGAAGGAACUAGGCAAAAUGGUGCCGUAACUUCGGGAGAAGGCACGCUGAUGUGUAGGUGAAGCCCCUGCGGGUGGAGCUGAAAUCAGUCGAAGAUACCAGCUGGCUGCAACUGUUUAUUAAAAACACAGCACUGUGCAAACACGAAAGUGGACGUAUACGGUGUGACGCCUGCCCGGUGCCGGAAGGUUAAUUGAUGGGGUUAGCGGCAACGCGAAGCUCUUGAUCGAAGCCCCGGUAAACGGCGGCCGUAACUAUAACGGUCCUAAGGUAGCGAAAUUCCUUGUCGGGUAAGUUCCGACCUGCACGAAUGGCGUAAUGAUGGCCAGGCUGUCUCCACCCGAGACUCAGUGAAAUUGAACUCGCUGUGAAGAUGCAGUGUACCCGCGGCAAGACGGAAAGACCCCGUGAACCUUUACUAUAGCUUGACACUGAACACUGGUCCUUGAUGUGUAGGAUAGGUGGGAGGCUUUGAAGCGUGGACGCCAGUCUGCGUGGAGCCAACCUUGAAAUACCACCCUUUAAUGGCUGGUGUUCUAACGUAGACCCGUAAUCCGGGUUGCGGACAGUGUCUGGUGGGUAGUUUGACUGGGGCGGUCUCCUCCCAAAGAGUAACGGAGGAGCACGAAGGUUGGCUAAUCCUGGUCGGACAUCAGGAGGUUAGUGCAAUGGCAUAAGCCAGCUUGACUGCGAGCGUGACGGCGCGAGCAGGUGCGAAAGCAGGUCAUAGUGAUCCGGUGGUUCUGAAUGGAAGGGCCAUCGCUCAACGGAUAAAAGGUACUCCGGGGAUAACAGGCUGAUACCGCCCAAGAGUUCAUAUCGACGGCGGUGUUUGGCACCUCGAUGUCGGCUCAUCACAUCCUGGGGCUGAAGUAGGUCCCAAGGGUAUGGCUGUUCGCCAUUUAAAGUGGUACGCGAGCUGGGUUUAGAACGUCGUGAGACAGUUCGGUCCCUAUCUGCCGUGGGCGCUGGAGAAUUGAGGGGGGCUGCUCCUAGUACGAGAGGACCGGAGUGGACGCAUCACUGGUGUUCGGGUUGUCAUGCCAAUGGCACUGCCCGGUAGCUAAAUGCGGAAGAGAUAAGUGCUGAAAGCAUCUAAGCACGAAACUUGCCCCGAGAUGAGUUCUCCCUGAGACUUUAAGUCUCCUGAAGGAACGUUGAAGACGACGACGUUGAUAGGUCGGGUGUGUAAGCGCAGCGAUGCGUUGAGCUAACCGAUACUAAUGAACCGUGAGGCUUAACCUU
rnacentral:rRNA from 1 species